UGCAUCGUCACCAAACUCCUCUGCCUCAAACACAGCGACUGUGCCCCUCGUUGUCAAUACGACAUCGGCGUCUGCCUGGGGAACGCCUGCAGGUGUUACAAGCUAGUCGAGGACAGGCAAAUGAGUGAAAGCCUAUCCCCUAUGUCAUAUGAGGAGGACUUGAAGUGACCACAACGAGGGGAAGAGACCGUAUUGUCUUGAGACCGGAAGUCGUGACCACAUGGCAGUUUGUACGAACUUGGUCCACUAGUCUGUGUGCUGCAAGUAAAGGCGUCCCGAAGUCCGUCGUGUUGGCUGCAUGUGGUGUUCAUGUAUCAUGAUCUGGUAUUCAUUUCCAUGUGUUAGACAAAUCCUAAUGGAGGACGGCGAGGGGAAAUACGUUGUAUUUAAAGAAAACGUAAGGCUUACAAUGACGUUCUGCACUUUAAUAUUCCAACAUGUAAUAUGUAACAUCAUGAAUCAUGUUCACAACUAGCUGCUGUUUGUCCAUUGUCAAUAGAAAAAAUAGUAAAAGCAAAAUGGGUUAGUGUUAUAACACUGUACACAUCAAUGUUUAAACAAAAGUGGUAAAUGUAAUAUAUGUCCGUCA